rnacentral:lncRNA from 1 species
UCGCUGCACCCCACUUUAUACAUAUACACUAAGCAUACAUAGCUGAAAUAAAUUUAAUACACAGGAAUGUGGUUACAAUAAACAACAAAAGGAUUUGCUUGAUACUGCAAAUAUAUGGCCAGGUCCGUUUCCAUGGUAUUUUAAAUGUUAAUAUGAAAAGUGAACAAAGACUAAAAUUCACUCCAGCAAACACACAAAAAUAAUACAGAAGGAAAGAUUGAAAGCAGCCAUGGUACAACCUCCAAAAAUGAAAACCAUGCAAAUUAGCCUUUGCAAACAUUUAGAAAUAGAGGUUGUUCGAAAUAAUGUCCCAAAAUGAUAUCAAUAACCCAAAUUGUGUGACCUUGCCCACCUAAACUUCAGCAGACCGGACAAAACAUGCCAAUCGUCUUUGCCUUUCAUCAUAUCCCGAUCAUUAGCACAUCCACAUGCGAGCUUGUUAGACGACAUUAUCAUGACGCUGAUGAAGAGCCAUGUAAUUUGCUUAGAAAUGCACAAAGCAAGAGAAAUAUCAGCAUAAAUAAUAAAGAAAAAAGCAUCAAGUUACUAUCUUCAGCUAAGUACUACAAAGCACCACAAGUUAAAAGAGUCAAAUUAUAUGUGUAUUCCCUCUUAAGUUCACAACAAAUGUACCAAAACUGGAAAACAUAGGCAAAAACCAUGUCUCGAUAACGGAUCUUGAAAUAAAGAAAGAAUGGCAAGUCUAAAUUGUAUUGCAUCUGUUAUGUAUCAGGCUAUCAUACAAGAGUGGUGGUUCUGCAAACCAAUUGGUAUUUUUCAGAAGUUGUGUCUCCAUAGGAGAGAAUGUGGCUAUGAUUAUGAAAACACGUAAACAUUCUAGUUUACUGCUUAGGUGUCAUGUAAAAGCAUUCAAAAUGAAAAUGUUGAUUUGCCAACGCAAAGAAAUAUAUAGGAAUACAAGUAGAUCGACCAUGAAAAACUUCAAGUAUUGUGCUAUGAGAAUAGUACUUCUACAUAGAUGAUCUAGUGUCUCCAAUUACAGAACUGCUUAAACCAAACUCAUGAUUAUGAUUUAACAAUGAACAGAACCUUCAAGUGUUGUGCUAUGAGAAUAGCCAGUAGAGAUUUUAGAAACCAUAAAAAUCAGAUCUUUUUGUGUGCGUGCCACAUCAAUCAAGCCGGACAUAUUACAGAGCAGAUGGUGGUUAAGGAGCAUUGCCAAUUUGGCAUCUUAAAAUUCAAAGCAUGGGUAUUAUGUUGCCAGACAGGUGUAUGUAAAGCUUCAGAAAUCAGGUGUGUGUUUUAGAGCAGGGUAUCCAACAUGACUAAUAGAGUAAUCACUAAACACUAAGCUGCCCUAUCUAAGUAAUCAGGGUACCUGGCCAAGCUUAACUUAAGCCACAUGGUUGACGAUGAAAGUAAACUGCACAUAGGUGAAUGCAAGGUGGAGUGUCCUGACCUGGUAACACAAUAAGCAUAUUAUAACAGAUGAUAUGAGCAGGUAUAACUGGGAAUAUUCAGGAGACUAAUUUUUAAAAGAUCAAAUAAUAUUCUUGAUUUAGUAAUAUAAGUAAGGUAUCCGAGUAAACAUAUUAAAUAUGAAUUUUGAUGUCAAUAUUACUGUGACCAUCGUAGCACAUGAGGCACCUGCCUAGUUCUUCUGUGCAUUUCAUCAAACACAUAACAUAGGCAUGGGGGAAUGGAGUGUUGAUUAUUUGUCUAAAGUAUGAUCAGACCAAUGGUGGGAUUAGUACCAUCUAAAGCUAGAAUAUACCAAUCCAAAUGGCGAUUCCGAAGUUCUUAAUGAGAAAACUAAUUAGUUCAUCAUAGAGCAAUACAUGUAGGUUUGGGAACAAUUAGACGCACAGACAGAUUACAGACCAUUUGCAAAACCUGACAAUUAAAUCUCCCCCCUGAAUUUCACAUAGGAGGACAUCGUACUGUCAUCAUUCAAAAUGUUUGUAUCUAUAUUAUUUUGCUCAUCAUGCGUACCAUGCAUAUGUUGUUGUUCAUCCUAUAUUCAAUCACAACAAUGUGCUACCAGGAACUCAAUUAGUGCUGCAGGAAAGUACUAAAUAUUGCGAUAAAAUUACUAAAUAUCACUAAUGGCUGUACCAGCCUAAUUGACAAACCAACCUAGACUAUAUUAGUCAAUAUCUAUCCUUGAAAGUCCUGCAUUCCCCCUCCCUUUGCCCUAACAAACCUCUGUACACUUAGCAGAUAAGUCUAACCUGAAAGUAUAGUAAUCAAAGAGACCAACUUCCAACCGAGAAAUGUGUCCUCCUUUUGCUGCCAGCUCAAAAAGGACUAAUGUGCCUUUACUUUCUAUGGAUCAAGAACACUUCAACAAAUUUCCACAGUCCACAUCAAGUGCAACAAACACCUCGCUAAGAUCCAUGAAUAUGUUAAUAUUUCCUUGCACUUCUAGUCGGCCAGUGCUCAUGACGGAAUACUUGUCAAAUUUGGCAAAAGACACACUACUCUUGCACAUAAACAAAUUUGGGCAAACACGAACUCGAGUUCCGAUCAUACCCAAUAUGAACAGUUUUGAACAAAUUCUGAAAAUAAAAAUAAAUUUGAUCAGAAACAAAUUAUCAAAUUAAUCGGCAUGUUUCCAUCUCUUUAGAUUCAGUCAUAUUCAGUCAAUUUCUCCCGCAGCACAAAUAAUUGGAAGCUGAAUCACACGGGGAAUAGAACAUAAUGGGAAAUUAAUUCACUCAGAGAUGGAGAAAUGGUGGCGCUAGGCGUGCGGUACCUAGAGGCCGUGCUGGUUGAGUCCCUUGACGGCGAUGGCGGCCCUUAGCAUCGAGCAUGCGGACAAAUGUCGUGUAGACCCCGUCGAAGCCGCCCUCGUCGCCCAGAUAUGAAAUGAAAGAGCCUGCAUUCAUUGUCCAAUUAUCCUUUGACCAUCUAUGUCACUGCAUCUGACCUCUACUUGAACUAUUACUAUUGAAAACAAAAAAUACACUGCAUACGUACCAAGAACAGUAAUCCUUGAUUUUCCUUUGCAUAGCAUAAUCAGAUAUUACAAAGGACAACACAAAGCUUACAUAGACAUGAUAACCAACAGAAGUGCAUGCAUAAAUCAGAAACUAUGGAUUAAAGAUUUACCAUCAAUUAGUUGGUCACUAAGAAGGACAUAUAUGGAUGGAUUCACUUAAUAGCAGUCACCAUGUAUAUCACAUUAUCAUCUAAUCAAGAAAAUUGCUUGACAAAUCAGAGAUUUCGAGUAAUGUUUGAACAAUGGCAUAAAAAGAAAUCUGAAUCACAGGUAGGUAAACAUUGCAAGUACUACAACUGACCAUGCAUAUUUAAACUGAUUUCCUUCAUGAGAAUUUCUAGUUCAGUACCCAUGUUUUUCUAAAUUUGGCAUGUGCUUACUAACAUGACAUACCGAGCCAUGAAUCUUAUUACUGAGCUCUGGUCAGCCAAAAAAUUAGAAGCUUUAAACCAAACAUGAGAUUAGUGUAGGCAGAUCAAAUGGUAAGAGGCCAAGAUACAAAUACUUCAAUAGUGUAGUAACCUAUAUGCAUCGUAUAAACCCAAGUCAUGCUUUCUGAAUGUAUAUAUAUAAGAUACAGAGUGGCAACAGAAGAGAUGCCAUAAUAGCAUCAGUUUCUUUUUGUAAAGAACAAUGGAUUUACACAUGCUAGUAAUUAACUUGGAGGAUCAUGUACUACACUGGCAAAAAUCUAAUGAUCCAACAUCACACUAACAUAUGUCAAUCACAAUAAAAAGUAUAAAGUUUUCUCAUAAAACAUGACUCUUGCCUAAUACCUGCAAAGCACAAUCUGGAUGGAACUAACAAAACCAAUCAAGCACAUAACCGUAGCAGCCCCUAACUCCCAGUGAAUGUUUAUUGACCAAUUCUCAAUUGCAUUCUGCAAAAGACAAACAAUAAUAUCAGUUUACAACCUGCUUGGAUUUUCAUCGAAUAUUUCUCAGUUCCUAAUUCAGAAAUGAUGUGACUGGAAUUUCCAAGUCAAUGAAGCCUAAUAAUUCAUUAAUAGGAUCAUUUCAUCUCAACAACUCAUAUUAAGUGAGUGUUAAUAUUUCAGCAGCCUGGUCAUCUAUUCACCUAAACAGAGGUAGACAAAGUUAGAACCAUAGUGGGGUUGCAACAUCCAACCAAACCCUGCAGAACAGUGAAAAUAAAACAAUUAGGCGAGUAGAUAAAAGUGUUAUUUAUUAGAUCCAGCAUAUACAAGAAAACAUCCAGAGGCAAUCAAAUUAUAUUCUGAUCAUGAUCAAAGGUGCAACACAUGCCAGUAGACAGUGUUGAUGCAAUAGACAGUGAAAUUUCCAUGAAGCUGGGAGGAGAUGUUUAAAAAUGUUGUGUGUCGUUUAAACACUACCAACUUAGAGAACUGAACCUCAGCAAGAACAUGAUCCUCUCUCAGUCUCUUCCUUUUAGAACCAAAUCAAGAUAAAUCCACUACAAACAAAUUUUCUUACAGGGCAACAGAGUUUCACCUUCUAGUAUGCAGAACAAUCCUAUCACUCAGCCAGUAUUAGGUCAGCCAUGGCCACAUUUUAUCCGGUGGGGAAUUAACUUGGGAUUCAU